rnacentral:rRNA from 1 species
ACUCCUACGGGAGGCAGCAGUGAGGAAUAUUGGACAAUGGGCGAAAGCCUGAUCCAGCAAUGCCGCGUGUGUGAAGAAGGCCUUCGGGUUGUAAAGCACUUUUGUCCGGAAAGAAAUCCUUGGCUCUAAUACAGCCGGGGGAUGACGGUACCGGAAGAAUAAGCACCGGCUAACUACGUGCCAGCAGCCGCGGUAAUACGUAGGGUGCAAGCGUUAAUCGGAAUUACUGGGCGUAAAGCGUGCGCAGGCGGUUUGCUAAGACCGAUGUGAAAUCCCCGGGCUCAACCUGGGAACUGCAUUGGUGACUGGCAGGCUAGAGUAUGGCAGAGGGGGUAGAAUUCCACGUGUAGCAGUGAAAUGCGUAGAGAUGUGGAGGAAUACCGAUGGCGAAGGCAGCCCCCUGGGCCAAUACUGACGCUCAUGCACGAAAGCGUGGGGGAGCAAACAGGAUUAGAUACCC